GUGCAGCUCAGCGCUGCGGAGCGAGGUCGAAGUCGCUGCUUGGAGGCCAGGCGGGGAUGGAAAUGGGAGCAGGAUCUAAAGGCUGGGAUGAGACAAGAAGACAUGGAGCUACCCCGCAAAGGUCACUUUGGUCAGCUGGAUCAGGCUACAGCAGCCAGCCGCCUGGGCUCCUGGACACGUGGCUGCCCGCGGCCCCCGGGUCCUCCACCUGCCGGAUCUCAGGUCCCAGGGGUGAACUGCAGCCGUUUCUGGUCCGCUGGCACGUUCGGGGAGCUCUUGGAGAUAUACAUACAUGGCCGAAGGCGGUGUUCACUGCAGCCCUGUUUGGAAGAGCAAGAGACUAGAAACAGCCUAAAUGUCCGUCCAUGGAGAGACGGGUCAAGAUGCUACGUUCACCUGCAAGACAAUACGGCGAGGGCACGCUUCCUGUCAGGUGGGGAGUGAUCUCCCAGCUACAUCAGGAAGGAGAAAAAGGCAAGGCGCCGAGGAGCAUCGGGCUGUGCAUGUUGACAUAAAAGUAGAAAGUUCCAGACCGUGCUGAACGUGUGGGGAUUCCAGGAGUGUGGUUCACAGGAGGCCUUAAGCUGUGGACUAGAGGGCAACUUCAGAUGAUGGGAAACAAGGCAAGAGAGCUGGUGGCGAGCACGGCCCCUGGUUAUCUAGGAGCCUGCGAUGGAACGGCCUGUGGUGAUGUAACCAGACGCUAACAGCGCAAGCCCUUGGGAGGAAGGGUAGAUGGAAUAGACGCCGUGUCAAAGACAUAGAAAAUUAGGGAAUUGUUUAACACUGCACCACUGGAAAAAGAUCCCAGCCUUUCCUGUGAUUAGUAGGUGCACAGAGAACUUAGAUCACACGGGGAAAGACUCUUCAAAGCCAUUAAAACAAAGCACAGCAUGACUGAACUAAUACCAGACAUCUGUUGCAUCAAUAAAUGUAAAUGGGCUAAACUCUCCUAUUAAACAUUUUUUAAAAGGCA